CCUACGGGUGGCAGCAGUGGGAAUAUUGCACAAUGGGCGCAAGCCUGAUGCAGCCAUGCCGCGUGUGUGAAGAAGGCCUUCGGGUUGUAAAGCACUUUCAGCGGGGAGGAAGGCGGUGAGGUUAAUAACCUCAUCGAUUGACGUUACCCGCAGAAGAAGCACCGGCUAACUCCGUGCCAGCAGCCGCGGUAAUACGGAGGGUGCAAGCGUUAAUCGGAAUUACUGGGCGUAAAGCGCACGCAGGCGGUCUGUCAAGUCGGAUGUGAAAUCCCCGGGCUCAACCUGGGAACUGCAUUCGAAACUGGCAGGCUAGAGUCUUGUAGAGGGGGGUAGAAUUCCAGGUGUAGCGGUGAAACGCGUAGAGAUCUGGAGGAAUACCGGUGGCGAAGGCGGCCCCCUGGACAAAGACUGACGCUCAGGUGCGAAAGCGUGGGGAGCAAACAGGAUUAGAUACCCGUGUAGUC
rnacentral:rRNA from 1 species